UUUGUAUUCACUAAUCGACCAGAAGUUAUUUUUAAAAAGGCCAAAUACGAGCGGCAAAUCGACGUUGGCAUGGAUCUGCUGGAGGAGAGGAGUUUCUGGUGGGCUCCCGGUGGCAUCUGAUGGAGUGACGGUGAGAGCAUCUCAUAGGGUCUGGGGGAGCACCUGGAUGCACUUGGAUGUGGAGCAUUGCUCAGAGGAGAUGUUGACGGACAAACCAUUUUGCCAGGAAGUAGCAGUUGAACGGGUGAGCCAGUGUGGAUUUGCAGGGCUGAUCUUUCUCCUUUUGCCUUUGGAUUUCAUCUUGGCAGUCCCUCCCAGUGCCCCUAGUCUGUCCCAAGAGCUUGUAGAAAAAAAAAAAGCUGAGCAAACAGUAAAAAUAAGGGGUACAGGUAAGGUACAAUACAAGUGUACCCCAUCCCUAACCCAAACCUUAAACAGCAGCCCUAACAGCGCUCCCGUUUCCCUGAGGCAGCUGCAGGCAGGAACCCUAAAGCAGCAGAGUGCCAGAACCCCCGAGAGGUGCAGGCAUUACCCCUGGUGCUAGGGCCAGCCAGGAAGAGAUAGUGGGGGGACGAUCCACAGGGUUGGGGAAACAGGGGGUUUCCCGCCCCGCCCCACCCUGGGCUCUCUGUCCCUCCGCAGCCGGGGAUUGCUCCCACCCCUCCUCGAGGCGGCGGUUGGUAAGGCUUCGUGCCUGGCCUCCGCAAAGAGUUCGGCUCUGUCAGCCUCUGCCCUGUCUCAGGGCCAAACUUAGGUAGGGUAGGGAGCAACUGUGGAUUGCCUGGUCCGGGCUAAGGGACAUCUCUUGGGGCCUAUGGAUAAGGAGCAUCCCCGGUUGCAAGCGUAGGGUUGUAAGUUUGUAGGGUUCAG